rnacentral:rRNA from 1 species
UACGUAGGGAGCAAGCGUUGUCCGGAAUUACUGGGUGUAAAGGGAGCGCAGGCGGACUGUCAAGUUGGGAGUGAAAACUACGGGCUCAACCCGUAACUUGCUUUCAAAACUGGCGGUCUUGAGUGGUGUAGAGGUAGGCGGAAUUCCCGGUGUAGCGGUGGAAUGCGUAGAUAUCGGGAGGAACACCAGUGGCGAAGGCGGCUUACUGGACAGUGACUGACACUGAGGCUCGAAAGCGUGGGGAGCAAACAGG